rnacentral:rRNA from 1 species
UACGGAGGGGGCUAGCGUUGUUCGGAAUUACUGGGCGUAAAGCGCACGUAGGCGGCUUUGCAAGUUAGAGGUGAAAGCCCGGGGCUCAACUCCGGAAUUGCCUUUAAAACUGCAUCGCUAGAAUUGUGGAGAGGUAAGUGGAAUUCCUGGUGUAGCGGUGAAAUGCGCAGAUAUCAGGAGGAACACCGAUGGCGAAGGCAGCUCGCUGGGACGGUACUGACGCUGAGGCGCGAAAGCGUGGGGAGCAAACAGG